UGGGGAAUUUUGGACAAUGGGCGAAAGCCUGAUCCAGCAAUGCCGCGUGUGUGAAGAAGGCCUUCGGGUUGUAAAGCACUUUUGUCCGGAAAGAAAUCCUUGGCUCUAAUACAGUCGGGGGAUGACGGUACCGGAAGAAUAAGCACCGGCUAACUACGUGCCAGCAGCCGCGGUAAUACGUAGGGUGCAAGCGUUAAUCGGAAUUACUGGGCGUAAGCGUGCGCAGGCGGUUUGCUAAGACCGAUGUGAAAUCCCCGGGCUCAACCUGGGAACUGCAUUGGUGACUGGCAGGCUAGAGUAUGGCAGAGGGGGGUUAGAAUUCCACGUGUAGCAGUGAAUGCGUAGAGAUGUGGAGGAUACCGAUGGCGAAGGCAGCCCCCUGGGCCAAUACUGACGCUCAUGCACGAAAGCGU
rnacentral:rRNA from 1 species